rnacentral:rRNA from 1 species
UACGGGGGGAGCAAGCGUUGUUCGGAUUUACUGGGCGGAAAGGGCGCGUAGGCGGCCACCGCAAGUCGACUGUGAAAUCUCCGGGCUUAACCCGGAAAGGUCAGCCGAUACUGCGGGGCUAGAGUGCAGAAGGGGCAACUGGAAUUCUCGGUGUAGCGGUGAAAUGCGUAGAUAUCGAGAGGAACACCUGCGGCGAAGGCGGGUUGCUGGGCUGACACUGACGCUGAUGCGCGAAAGCUAGGGGAGCGAUCGGG